rfam:Arabidopsis thaliana chromosome 5, complete sequence.
AUGAGGAAGACGAUGACGAAUUAAAAGUUCUGGUGAUGUGAAAGACACAGGUUAAAGACAACUCGGGUGAAAAACAACACAAAGAAGAAGAGAGAAGUUGAAAAAACUAGGGAUGUUUUGUAUUUCCGUUGAUGAUGAUGACAU